AGUCUGGAUAUCUCUGUCUAGCCGCAUUUAUGCCUGUCUUCAGUUAAACCAACUUAAAUUGAAUGUAAUUACAGUCUGAAGAUUCCCACUCAGUAGCUCAUUCUUUUGAAGUUUUUUCUUUUUCUUUCUUUUUUUUUUUUUAAAUUAAACUCAAGUUGACAUGAAGUUCCAGGUGAAUUUUCACUUUCAAUGGCAUUGUUAGCUACUAUAGAAGAACAGCACUUGCUCUGCCACAGCUGUGAGUAAGGAAAGAUGUGUGUACACAGUUGCCUCUUUUGCUGUUUUCCUUGUUGAUUAUUUAUUUAUUUAUUUAUUUUUGAUUACCCUAAUUCCUACAGAUUUAUACCCUAAGCAUUUUUCCUCAAGAAUUGAAAAUGUUUUAAAACUGCAAACUGAGUAACUUCUGAACAAGUAUACAAAUAUAAGGUAAUAUUAUUACAAAUUUAAAUUGUGAAUUUUUUUUUCUUUUCUCAACUCAACCCCCACCUGUUUUUAUGGACACUGGGAAAGUCUGUAGUCUGAAUUCUCUUCUUCAUUGGAUAACCAUCUAACGAAGUCUGAAAGCAGUAGCUCUUCAUGUAGGGACCAACAGGAGUAUCUGGGAGGAAGCUCCAUUUACGUAAUGGUUCAUUUAUUUGAGCUUACUUAGAGAUCCAUCUUCUAAACAUGUGAUUCUUUCAUGCCAUGAAGAGAAGCAGGCGUGAUACUAGGAAACGGUAUUGGCAGACUGACAAGCCGUGGCUCUCUUCAUAGAAUCUCCUGAGACUGCAGGAGUUGAGUCACCGAUACAAAGGGAGUCUUGUGAGGACAUAAAACCUAUGCCUGUAGGAUCUUACAUUGUUACCUUAGUAAAAUGAAAGGUGACAGCAGUGGCUGUAACUUACUUUCUUCUUGACUCAGAUGACAGAAUGUAGAACUGUCAGAGUUGGCAGGGAUCGUGCCUGAAAGGGGAAGCACAUGACCGCCCCGCCCAAGAGGGGCUGGGGGGGGGGGCAGCCAUAACUCUUCAGUCUCUGCUUUCUCCUAUAGGAAGACCAGCCGUGAGUUAGACAAGAGGGGGCUUCCCUAAAUAUUUCUUGGCACUCUUAUUGGGAUGCAGUGUACUUGGCAGUCACAUCAAAGAAUUAUCUUCCCCAUCCCUUCUCACAGUAAGAGGAUAAUUCUAUGAGAAUUUUGCAGAGGACUUUUUUAAAGUAUAAAAUUGUAAUCCCAGACUGGGUGUGGUGAUAUAUAUACCUUUGAUCCCAGUGCUUGGGAAGUGGAAACGAGGCUCACAGUGAAUUCUAGGCCGGCCUGGGUUAUAUGAGACCCUGCCCUUUUUAAAAACUGUUUUUAUUUCAUGUAUCAAAGAGGCAGGGGUUAGGCUGGGUAGCAGUUCCGAUGCUGGGAUGGUUUAAGUUCGAUAAUAGCUUGCAUUGUUGGGGUAAGUGGCUUAUGUUGCUCAUUUGUAUGUGAAGUCUGUUUCUGAGACAGCCAGCCUCAAGCUUUUUAAAGGUAUGCUGUGAGGAGAGUGUGUGGAGUUCACCUGCAGCUGUCCUCAUAGCUUGCCUGCAAUCAAAUUUUUUAUGAUCCAUCUUUAACUUGAGUUGACAAACUUAGAAAUACAUGAAUGGACUAUACUGUCCUCCCAGACUUGGAAACUUAACUGACCAAAACUAGACUUUACAGCUAUAUUGGUCUUCUAGGGAAACCUUCAACUUUAUGUACAGAUUGGCUCUGAAAUUUUGAUCAUAUCUGCUGAUUUCCAUUGUGAAACAUCUUCAUCCUUUUCAAAUACAGGGAAUACAUUAAUAGAGCCUUUUAAUUACACCUUUAGCCUUUCUUUAACAAUUUAUACAGCUCCCUGUUUUUAUAAUACAGGUAUAGGAAGGGUACUGGCCAAGCUCUGGAAAUGAAGAUCUUGGUAAAUGUUUAUUAUUGUAUUUAAAAGAGGCAGACAUAGAAAACCAGUUUAGAGUUUGACCUUUGUAUGUCUCUUUGAGAAAUAAAAGUAUUUUCACUGAGGGAAAGGGCAUUAGACCAAAGUUUCCUGAAGACUUGAAUACAUUUCACAUGCUCUUUAGAACCACUUUAGUUACUGAUGUGAUGCCUGAAUAAGGCAAAUAGGAUGAAAACAUCCCACUCCUCUCAGCCCAACAUUGUUUCCAAGGGACACAGAACAUCGGGGGAGGGGGGAGUCUAAAUGAAAGGUAAUAGCAGUAUAACAACUUGUAAAAUCAUGAAAACUGUCACUGGGACUUACUCUUAGUUGGCACCUCUCACCAGAGCUUGUCCAGUUUGAGUGAUUGCCAACAGUGCUGGGAGAGUCGUUAGACUGGAAAUAACAGAGUGUGAACUUGCCUUACAUACUGGGCAUAUUCCAUGUGUGUGGAAAACCACCCGAGUUCCCAAGUGUUCUUAUGAAGUGAAGUAGAGAACUUGGGCAGACAAGAUGCUCCCUUUAUAAAUUUGGAUGUCUUUGGUCCUGGGAUCUUUGUAAGUUCUGUGUCUUAUGACCAUGAUGCUGGCUCAGAAACUCUGUAAGGACAGAGCCUCCUGUACAAACAAGAAAUAAUAGUCACUUUCCUGCUAUUGGUUUUAUUUACUUUAAAUGUUUUACUCAUGAACUUCGAUGAUUGCUUUGUAUGAGAAUGUAUGUACUUGGGGAAUUUGAAUUUAUUCUAAUAAGCUACCUAUUGACCUGGAGUUUUGUUGUAAGAACUCUAAACUCAAAGUCCAGUCCAAAUGGAUCUGGUUCCAGGUGCACUCUUUUGGGGUUGUUUUCCUUACUGCUUGUCUUCAGCCACAUGGGUGACUUUGCUCUGGGAACGGCCUUAGGCACACAGGUAGUGGGUGUCAAUGCAGCACAUGCUGAUUUUCUUGCCGCUGUGUUUAAGAAAUCAAAACUUUCUAAGAACCAGCAAAACCGGGAUGAAGGUUUGUAGGGGAGGUUGGGGGAUUAAAAAAAAGCAGGUCUAAAACUCUCAUAAUGCUUUUUUCUGACAAGUCUGGUGUGGUAGGUACCUACCAUGGUGAAGUGUUGUGAAAAAAAGACAAGCAACAGAUUGACCAGACGGUUGUCACUACCAGCAGUAAAGUGCAGAGUGGAGCCACAGGGAAGCAAGGAAGGAAGAAAGGGAGGGAGGGAACUUGUGUGAGAGGGGAACUGCUCUCAAGUGGAAACUCAGGCAGAAGGGUUCCUAGAUGGCUCAUUCUGUCUAUGUCUAGCUCAAGUCACAAUUAUUAGCAGAGGCUGAGAAGAAGCAGACAGUCUCUAGUCCUUUGUGAGAAUCUCUGAGGUUUUAACUGCUCACAUUUUCCUCCCACCUUCCUCCUUUUUUCCCCCUAAAGACAAUCAGGGGCUUGCCAGGAUGGGACUCCAGGCUGCUUCCAGCACCAUCCUUAGCCCUCUCUCCAGUACCCUCUCUUUGGAAGUAAUGCACUUUGUUUAAUGUAUUUUGCCUUUAAAAAAAAACAAAAGAAACAAAAAACAAGUUGCUUGUUUGGAACAAAAUGAGAUGCUUUCGGCACUGUAUCAUUCCUGCUUGCUGUUUUUCCUCUUAAUUUACAAUUUUAUGCAUUAAAGACAAAGUAUUCUUAAGGAGAAAUAUGCACAAGAAUACCUAUUAAAAUAACUCCCAUCAAGUUUGAUGGUAUAAUUUUUAAGGAUUAAAAACAGAACAAAAAUAUUUUGAGU
rnacentral:lncRNA from 1 species